AGCUGAGUUUGAUCCUGGCUCAGAUUGAACGCUGGCGGCAUGCCUUACACAUGCAAGUCGAACGGCAGCACGGGAGCAAUCCUGGUGCGAGUGGCGGAACGGGUGAGUAAUAUAUCGGAACGUGCCCAGUCUGGGGGAUAACGUAGCGAAAGCUACGCUAAUACCGCAUACGAUCUAUGGAUGAAAGCGGGGGAUCGCAAGACCUCGCGCGAUUGGAGCGGCCGAUAUCAGAUUAGGUAGUUGGUGAGGUAAAGGCUCACCAAGCCGACGAUCUGUAGCUGGUCUGAGAGGACGACCAGCCACACUGGGACUGAGACACGGCCCAGACUCCGUACGGGGGCAGCAGUGGGGGAAUUUUGGACAAUGGCGCAAGCCUGAUCCAGCAAUGCCGCGUGCAGG
rnacentral:rRNA from 1 species